rnacentral:rRNA from 1 species
AGAAUCAACGCUGGCGGCGUGCCUCAGACAUGCAAGUCGAACGCGAAAGUCCCCUUUGGGGGGCAAGUAGAGUGGCGCACGGGUGAGUAACACGUAGGUAAUCUACCUUUGGAUGGGGAAUAACAACCGGAAACGGUUGCUAAUACCGCAUAAUGCAGCGGCACCUAAUGGUGACAGUUGUUAAAGCGGGGGAUCGAAAGACCUCGCGUCUGAAGAGGAGCCUGCGGCGGAUUAGCUAGUUGGUAAGGUAACGGCUUACCAAGGCAACGAUCC